CUAUGUAAGCAAUCGUUUUACCUUGAGAAAAUUAGAGUGUUCCAGGCAGGCUUCAGCCGGAAUACAUUAGCAUGGAAUAAUGGAAUAGGACUGGGGACUAUUUAUUGGUUUGAGGCUCCAGUAAUGAUUAAUAGGAACAGUCGGGGGCAUUGGUACUUAACAGUCAGAGGUGAAAUUCUUGGAUUUGUUAAAGACUAACUAAUGCGAAAGCAUUUGCCAAGCAUGUUUUCAUUAAUCAAGAACGAAAGUUAGGGGAUCAAAGACGAUUAGAUACCGUCCUAGUCUUAACUGUAAACGAUUCCAUCUUAGAAUUGGUGAAUAUUGAUGAUUCAUCCAGCGCUAUAAGAGAAAAUCAAAAGUCUUUGGGUUCUUGGUGGAGUACGAUCGCAAGAUUGAAACUUAAAGGAAUUGACGGUUUGCACACCAUGGAGUGGAGCCUGUGGCUUAAUUGACUCAACACUGGGAACUCAUCAGGACAACAAAGUUUUAGGGAUUAGACAGAUUGAUA
rnacentral:rRNA from 1 species